GUUUAGGUGACGAGUCCCGAAUAGGACGAAACGCGUGUCCUCAAU
rnacentral:hammerhead_ribozyme from 1 species